CCUACGGGUGGCAGCAGUGAGGAAUAUUGGUCAAUGGACGAGAGUCUGACCCAGCCAAGUAGCGUGAAGGAUGACUGCCCUCUGGGUUGUAAACUUCUUUUAUGUGGGAAUAAAAUGUUCCAAGUGUGGGAUUUUGUAUGUACCAUAUGCAUAAGGAUCGGCUAACUCCGUGACAGCAGCCGCGGUAAUACGGAGGAUCCGAGCGUUAUCCGGAUUUAUUGGGUUUAAAGGGAGCGGAGGUGGAUUGUUAAGUCAGUUGUGAAAGUUUGCGGCUCAACCGUAAAAUUGCAGUGGAAACUGGCAGUCUUGAGUACAGUAGAGGUGGGCGGAAUUCGUGGUGUAGCGGUGAAAUGCUUAGAUAUCACGAAGAACUCCGAUUGCGAAGGCAGCUUACUGGACUGUAACUGACACUGAGGCUCGAAAGUGUGGGUAUCAAACAGGAUUAGAUACCCUUGUAGUC
rnacentral:rRNA from 1 species